AACGCAUAUUGCGCUCUCUGGUAUUCCGGGGAGCAUACUUGUCUGAGGGUCGGUAAAUCCAAAUCCUUUACGGGGUCGAUGGGCGCAUCCGUUAGCCAUUUUUUUGGAUAUCGGUCGCCUGAAAUAAUAUAGCUUCCGCGACAGCAGCGGAUCGCGUAGUAAGCGUUUUACGAAUGCAUCUCGCGAUUAAGCGGUGGCGGUAAGUUAAUAAAAGGAACGUAACGUUCCUACCUCUUUGUCUCGACCUCAGAUCAAGUAAGAGUACCCGCUGAACUUAA
rnacentral:misc_RNA from 1 species